UACGUAGGGUGCGAGCGUUGUCCGGAAUUAUUGGGCGUAAAGGGCUCGUAGGCGGUCUGUCACGUCGGGAGUGAAAACUCAGGGCUUAACCCUGAGCCUGCUUCCGAUACGGGCUGACUAGAGGUAUGCAGGGGAGAACGGAAUUCCUGGUGUAGCGGUGAAAUGCGCAGAUAUCAGGAGGAACACCGGUGGCGAAGGCGGUUCUCUGGGCAUUACCUGACACUGAGGAGCGAAAGCGUGGGGAGCGAACAGG
rnacentral:rRNA from 1 species